GCCUCCGUGGCGCAAUGGGUUAGCGCGUUCGGCUGUUAAUCGAAAAGUUAGUGGUACGAAACCACCCGGAGGUG